AAGAAAGUAAUAAAGAGCGUAUGGGGGAUGCCUAGGCUCUUGGAGGCGAAGAAGGACGUGGUAAGCUGCGAAAAGUCGCGGGGAUUUGCAAACGAGAAUUGAUCCGCGAAUAUCCGAAUGGGACAACCCGGCAGGCAGAAGGCCUGUCACCCAGCAAUGGGGGCUAACCCUCUGAACUGAAACAUCUAAGUAGGAGGAGGAGAAGAAAGAAACAUCGAUUUCCAAAGUAGCGGCGAGCGAAAUGGAAGGAGCCCAAACCGGUAUUGUUACGGCAAUGCCGGGGUUAUAGGACUGCGAGAUUCGAAGGACAAAGAACUGGAAAGAUUUGGAAAAGUCGACCAUAGAGAGUGAAAGUCUCGUACAGGUAAUUAAGUUCAAAGAUAGCAGUAUCCUGAGUAUGGCGGGACACGAGGAAUCCAGUCAGAAUUUGCCGGGACCACCCGGUAAGGCUAAAUACUCCCAAGAGACCGAUAGUGAACCAGUACUGUGAAGGAAAGGUGAAAAGAACCCCGAACAGGGGAGUGAAAAAGAACCUGAAACCAUACGCUUACAACCUGUCGGAGCGGCUUCGUGCCGUGACGGCGUGCCUAUUGAAUAAUGAGCCUACGAGUUACUAAUCACUGGCGAGGUUAAGUGCUAGGAAGCACGGAGCCGAAGCGAAAGCGAGUCUGAACAGGGCGUUUAGUCAGUGGUUGUAGACGCGAAACCUUGCGAUCUACCCUUGAGCAGGAUGAAGGUUGGGUAAAGCCAACUGGAGGUCCGAACGAAUAAGCGUUGAAAAGCUUCUCGAUGACUUGAGGGUAGGAGUGAAAGGCCAAUCAAGCUGGGAAAUAGCUCGUACUCCCCGAAAUGCCUUUAGGGGCAGCGUUGUAAUAAAGAGUCUACUGGAGGUAGAGCUACUGAUUGGAUGCGGGGGCUUCACCGCCUACCAAAUCCCGACAAACUCCGAAUGCCAGUAGUAUGAUUUACAGCAGUGAGCCACCGGGUGCUAAUGUCCGGUGACAAAAGAGGAACAACUCAGACCAGCAACUAAGGUCCCCAAGCGUAUGCUAAGUUGAACUAACGAUGUUUUGUUGCAUAGACAGCUAGGAUGUUAGCUUGGAAGCAGCUAUUCAUUCAAAGAGUGCGUAACAGCUCACUAGUCGAGCGACAAAGCGUGGAUAAUAAACGGGCAUCAAGCAUACCACCGAAGUUCUGGGCGCGAAAGCGCGGUAGGGGAGCAUUCCAUUCAGCGUUGAAGCAGCGUCGUGAGAUGUUGUGGAGCGUAUGGAAAAGCAAAUGUAGGCAUGAGUAACGAUAAUGCGGGAGAGUAACCCGCACACCGCAAGACCAAGGUUUCCUGAUCAACGCUAAUCGGAUCAGGGUUAGUCGGGUCCUAAGGGUAAGCCGAACGGCGAUCUCGAUGGAUAAUCGGUUAAUAUUCCGAUACUGACAUAUACCUCGAUGGAGAGACGAAAUCGCGUAAGUACCGCCUCCUGACGGAAUAGGAGGUUAAAGGGCGUAUGUAUAGGGGCAGAUUAAGAGUCAGUCCUUGCUGAAACCCGACAGUACAGAGAGCCUACGGGCAAUUUGAUAGUGUACCCAAGCAUGUUUCCGAGAAAAUCUUCUAAGUUAUAGUAUAUGUCACCCGUACCGUAAACCGACACAGGUGGUCGAGGAGAGUAUCCUAAGGUGCUCGAGUGAAUCACGGUUAAGGAACUAGGCAAAUUAACCCCGUAACUUCGGGAAAAGGGGUCCCUACGCGAGUAGGGCGCAGCGGAGAGGUCCAGGCGACUGUUGAUCAAAAACACAGGGCUCUGCAAAUUCGAAAGAAGAAGUAUAGGGCCUGACACCUGCCCGGUGCUGGAAGGUUAAGAGGGGAUGUCAUCGCAAGAGAAGCAUUGAAUCGAAGCCCCAGUAAACGGCGGCCGUAACUAUAACGGUCCUAAGGUAGCGAAAUUCCUUGUCGGGUAAGUUCCGACCUGCACGAAUGG
rnacentral:rRNA from 1 species